rnacentral:lncRNA from 1 species
AAAGCGUAUUUUGAUGCCAAAUCACAUUUUAUAACGAAGAUGCAACACCUGAUGUUAUAACAACUCAUACACAAUUUAUCUCGUUAUUUAAAAUAUAACAGAAUUCAUGACUUCUAACCAAACACUAACAUGAUUUCAAAAAACAUAAAAAAAAUACAUUUACUAACAUGGACUCAACUCUGUCCAAUUCCAUUCCUUUAAGCAUGAAUAUUCACUGAUUUCAUGCCAAACGUGUCAAAAAUAUUCAGCUGCCUAGACUCAUAUGGUAGCCUUACCAACCAUAAUUUAACAUUGUUCCAAAAUAGAAUACUAUACAGAUUUAGAUUUUGAACACUCGAAUUCUGAAUCUUACUAGGGAAUAGGGUGUUGAUGCUGAUAUUUAAUUACAACUAGAAACAUUGACUAUCAAACUAAUUAAUACAUGUAAUGGUAAAUAAAAGAAGAGAAAAUCUGGAAGGGAAGUCUAAUUUCAUUUAAAAACAUUGCAACUCCAACUUCAUUUUGCACUUUCAAAGUUCGAAACAUACCUGAAACAACCAAAAUAGUCACAGUAAUUUAGCAAAGAACUAACAAUCUCAGCAGAUCUUAAAACAACAACCAACAACAGUUCAUCAAUCAGCUUUUCAUGUUUUGGAACCCAUAAGUAAACAACAAAUUAUCCUAGCUUUUAAAACCCAAAAAAUAUCAACAAACCAGCUACAAUAGAACAGUACUUGAUGGUUUUUUUUGUAUCUUUUUUCUUUCUAAUUUUGGGACCUAUAUCAUUGUGUAUGGUUUCAGCCGUUUGCUCCCUUUUCAGGUCUCUAAUCUCUGCUUAUAAAUGAAAGGAAACGAACCUUAUAUAACCAGCUCCUAGGGCAACAAAAUCUGAUUCUAUACUUCACCAUUUACCCCUUCCCCAAUUUUAAUUUUUUCAUUUUGGACCCUGUAGUUAAAACCUGUUUGUUAAUCUACCCCCAAUCCCACCUUCCUGAAAAUUUUUUAAGUGGUUUAAGGAAGAUUCCCAUUAUUAAAUUCUCUAAACUACCCUUUAUAAGGUUGGUAAUUACUUUAACAUAGACAUUGGGCCAAACCGCCCAAAUAUCUUUGGGCUUCUGCACCAAAUGAACUUCAACCCGUUUUUUGGGCUACUAGCAAACCCAGGUUCAAGUCUAAACCAAUGAAUUCAUAAGAAAAAUAAGAAAUCCAAAAGAACCCAAUUCUGAAUUCUAGUAACAUGAAAUCUUCUUAACGAAGCCGAAUAAGAAUAAUAAAUAAAAAAAGAAGUAAAAAGGAAAAAGGAAAAUUAACAAAUACUAACAGAGAAUUUAAUUGCUUUUUAACCUAUUAUUAUUACCUAAUUAAACGACUGAAAAACCUGCGAUUUCUAAACCCAACUGAGAGGAAGAAGAAGAGAAGUACCGGCUAGAUCGAUGGCUCACAGGUGAUGACAUCCGGCGUGAAGAAUCUCAACCCCAUGGUGUGAACUGUAACAAUGAGCACUAGCUGGAGUUUCUUCCAUGGCUUGUGCUCUUUGUCACAGUCCCCAUCACGAGUCAAGAACGAAGAGGAAAUAGAGAUAAAGGCCUAUCAGAGACUGUUGACCAAACUUGGCCACCAUGCACAGAUCGAGCCCUCAGCCAAUUGGCUUUUCCACAUCGAAAUUAGUUGAUUCACACAUUUUAACACCAAGAAGAAACUAGAGUGGGCGAAAAUCAGAAGAAAAGGGGUGAAGGGAUUUUCAGUGCUAACUUCGAUCUCUGAUCUGGAGAGAAUGGUGUGGUUUGGGAGAGAAAACAAGGGUGGAUUUGGAAUGGAGGUGCACCGGAGGUUACAUGGUCAAGAUUUGAAGGGGUUUUGAGGUCAACCGCCGCCGCUGGCGAUUUCCGAUGGGUGGCGGACGGUGGUGAGAGAUAGGGUGUGAGGGAGAUGAAGAGCAGAAAUCCUAGGUUAAUCUGAAGCAUUUGGACAAUUUUAAUUAAAAUGGGGGAAGUCUUUAGGGCCAUUAGAUGAGAUAAAAUGAAGGGCCAAGAUUAGCUUAACACUAACGAACUCAAAACGCGUAGUAUUCCUCUUAUACUACGUCGUUUUAGGGUCUCAUGGGCUGAAGGCUUUGGACCUGGUUGCAUUGGGCCACCGAAUAGUUUGGGUUUCCACCAAAUUGGCCCAAUUUUGGGGUUUUAAAACAAAUUCAAACUUUCCUUCUCUUUGUUUUAUAAUUAAUUCUUUUUUCUUUUCAAUUUUUUUUCUUUUUCUUCUUUCUUAAUUAAUAAAAAUCCUAAAUUACCCCCAAUUAAUCCAAGUUGUGAAAUUAAACUAAUUAUCAAAAUGGAAAAUUUAUAAAAAUUAUCUAAUCCUAAAUUAAAAGAGAAACAUCAACAAUCUAAAAUUAAAGAUAAUAAUUGUAAAAACGAGCCAAUUUUGUGCUUUUCAUUUUUAACAAAACAAAUAACUGAUUAAUUAAUCCUAGAACUGUAGAAUAACCUAAAUGCGAUGCAUGAUGCUUUUUUUGUACUUUUCAUGAUUUAAAUAGAAACAAACAUGCACAGAAAUGCAAACAAUUAGCGCAAAUUCUCACAAAAUCCUACAAUAUUGCAAAUAAUGGAAAAAUUUAUUUUUCUUGUAUUUUAUGGGAGUAAUUCACAUAGGGCAAAAAUCACGUGCUCACACAACCCCUAAACAGUAAUAUAUAAUUACCAAAUCAUAUAAUUCACAACACAAAAAUACCCCAAAAGAUUCAAUCUUUGCAUGAAAUUACAACUACUUCCAAUUCAAGAACACAAAAUACUAGCUCAUACUACCAAGUAAGGAAAUUAAGAAGCUACACAGAAUCUUUCACAAAAAUUAUUCUGAGCCCAAUUGAAAUUGCACUCAACUAAUACAAGAAACAAAAAAUUACAACAAAUAAAGGUUCAGAAUCUUUCUUGUGGGAUCCAAGAGCAGAAAUCAAGAAAAUUCUUACCUUAAAUCUUUUUUAUUUUUUCCCUGUCUUAGUUCGAUCUCACCCCUUUUUCCUUCUCUAUUUUUUUGGUCCAGAUUCCCCUCGCUGUAUCUCGUCACUCUCUAUAUCUUUUCCCUAUUUUUUGUGUGUGUAUUCUGAUUGUGGUGUGAGGUUAGCCGGAUUUUGUGAGGUGGAGUUAUGAUUUUUUGCAAAUUAGAUUUUCGAGGAGGGGAAAAACAGUCGGCUCCUCUUGAAUGAGAGAAAUGAGAUAUAAAAAAUGUAGGGUUUUGGGAGGAGGAAAUCUGAUGGGUUAUUGUCUAUUGGACUCAGGUUUGGCCCACUUUGGGACAUGACUUGGAC